AAACUGCCAAAUUAGCAGAUAUCGCUGAGCACCGGUGAUGUUCCAGGCACUGAUGAAGAGAUGUGUGUGACGUGGUAUGGAAAGUGAUGAACGUUCAUUUGAGGCUAUAGAAAGACACAGGUCAUCUGAAAGCAGAACUGCUAUAGAGAUACCAUGUCUCACUACUAAAGGACCUGAAAUCUAUGCCCAAUUGAGGGGCACAAGGGAAACCAACAGCCACCUCAGUCCCCUUAUGAAGAUGCAGGAACCGGUCUGGUGAAAGAACAUCACUUGUUCAAGGCCAUGGAGAUGGCCAGUCUAUGAUAUGAAGGAAGAUAUAUCAGAAAACUGACCUAUACAGUUGAACAAAUCCUGUUCCCUCCAAAGGUAAUUUGUUGCUAGAGCUAGAGGAAAGUUGAAAACAUGGCUUUAAAAAGAAAACAACAUAUGAAAUCAUGCACCUUCAGUGGUUACAGGGAAGUGUUCCAGGCCUGAACCAUGUGUGUUACGGCUUUUAUGAACAAUGCAUCCAGUCUAUCAGAAGAGGGCUGAUGUCACCAGACAAGCUAACUUUUGAAAUAGUCAACGAACUGCAUGUGAAAUGGACAAGGUGAAGAAACUGAAGCUUAGGAGCCAAGAUUGAAUUCAAAGCCCAAUGCAGGCCUUCCCCUGGAAGACAAUGGGGUUCGCUCUGCUUCUCGCUAUUCCUCUGUUGCUUUCCUGAGGACUACGAUACUACGCCUUCGGUUCAGUGAUGUCUCAGAAAGCUCUUGGAGGGAAUUGCAUUCUAUCCACGAGAGUGGAGCUGAAACAGCUGAGGCCUGGAGUUACUCCUAGUGGGAACAUUCCAGACACAGGGACACAUGUGAAAAUGGGAAUCCAAAGGAAUGUGGGGAGCUGGAGAAACUAAAGGAAUGCUGACAUCCAUGGAGUGUCUGUUCAACUGGGUGGAAGGCAACAGGGGGCACUGGAGAAAGAAAUUAGCAGAGAAUUUUCAGAAUUUGUUCUAUGGCGUGAAGAGUUGAACUGAGACACAUUAAAAAAAGAAUCUUAUUUCCAGAACAACUCCCCAACGGUCUUCCUUCCCUGUAUUCAGCUACAGGGUGACAAGGUGGACUGCGGGACAAGACCACUCUGGCUUGUCCAUACUCUGUUCUACUCCUAAGUCACUUUUUAUCCAAAGCCAUCAAGAUAAAAUUAUUUUUUGGAAGUACAGACUGCACAGAGUUUACAAACCAGAGCUAGGCCAAUGCAGAGAGGUACAGAAAGGCGGCGGGCCCAACACAUAGCAUAAAAGGCCUGCACUCCAAAUUUUUCACCAAAAGGUUCAUUUCCAUUGAGAGAGAGAGAGAGAGGGAGAGAGAGAGAAUGAGUAAGGCACAAAUGCCUUCUGAAUUAAUCACCAAGGAGAAACUGUUCAAGCUUCGCCGCAGCAGGCUUUACACUUCACAGGAAUCUAGACAAUCAGAAAAGCCCUGGAUAUAGCAGAUGCCCCCUCCUCCAACAAGCGUACUGCAAUUACUGAUGAGAGAGGGGCCCAGGCUGCGGGUCAGCCCUGCCAUUCAUCUGCACAAGUCACGUUUGGUCUGGAUCCUGCUUGCUCCUUUCCUCCGGCCCCCUUCAGCAAUACAAAUAUAUUCCCGGGCUGCGCUCUUCCCGAAAUUUCAACCUUGAUGCACUGCACCCGGCAGUGGACCCCCCAAGAGUCUGGAAGGGGGUUUGCGGUCCCAUUAUUCUCUGUCUGUGGGACAUGAUAAGUAGAAGGGCAUAUUCAUCAGCCUCGCCGUGUUAGGCCUCCUUCCCACGGACGUCUGAUACCUCUUAACCUGCAUGACUCAGGGGCUCCCACGUUACUUAAAGCAAUCUUGACCCAGGUUGUAUUUUCGACCUGU